rnacentral:piRNA from 1 species
AGCCCAGAUACUAGAAUAUAUUCCACGUAC